rnacentral:misc_RNA from 1 species
UCCGGUUUGUCACCGGCAGUCUCAUUAAAGUGCCCACCUCAACAUGCUGGCAAUUAAUGAUAAGGGUUGCGCUCGUUGCGGGACUUAACCCAACAUCUCACGACACGAGCUGACGACAGCCAUGCAGCACCUGUGUAUCCGUUCUCUUGCGAGCACUCCUUCAUCUCUGAAAGAUCCGGACCAUGUCAAGGGCAGGUAAGGUUUUUCGCGUUGCAUCGAAUUAAUCCACAUCAUCCACCGCUUGUGCGGGUCCCCGUCAAUUCCUUUGAGUUUUAAUCUUGCGACCGUACUCCCCAGGCGGUCAACUUCACGCGUUAGCUGCGUUACCAAGACAAUAAAGUCCCGACAACUAGUUGACAUCGUUUAGGGCGUGGACUAC